rnacentral:rRNA from 1 species
UAGGGAAUCUUCCGCAAUGGGCGAAAGCCUGACGGAGCAACGCCGCGUGAGUGAUGAAGGUCUUCGGAUCGUAAAACUCUGUUAUUAGGGAAGAACAAAUGUGUAAGUAACUAUGCACGUCUUGACGGUACCUAAUCAGAAAGCCACGGCUAACUACGUGCCAGCAGCCGCGGUAAUACGUAGGUGGCAAGCGUUAUCCGGAAUUAUUGGGCGUAAAGCGCGCGUAGGCGGUUUUUUAAGUCUGUUGUGAAACCCCACGGCUCAACCCUUGAGGUUCAUUUUCACCUGUCCCCCUUGCCUGCAGAAUAGGCAAGUGGACUUCCCUUUUUAUCGCUGACCUGCCCAGCUCUCUGUUGGCCCACCACUGGCGAAUGCGACUUUCUGGUCUGUCACUGACGCUGAUGUGCGCACGCGUGGGGAUCAAACAGG